ACUCCUACCAAGUUUUCACUUUUAGGUUGGAGUGCAGAAGGGAGUGGGUAAUUGUCCACAUCAUUUCCUUCAAUUUCAGAUGGUGAAGGCAAGGCUGAAGUCAUCUGAUCAUAUUGUUCGCUCCUUCAGAUGAAAAGCCUCUGAGAAACUAGCACUUUGCCCAAAGUUUUGGAAUGUACAACCCCUUGGAAAUCAUUGUUUUCAUUAGCUUUUUAUAUUUCAGAUUUUCUUGCUAAUCCUCAUAGCUCUUCUUGAGGAAAGAAGUGGGGCCUCGUAGGUGUGAGAACACAACUGCUGAUCACGAAUCAAGACGGAAUUUCUAAAUUUGGAUUGAGAAACAUAAUCUAGCAGAA
rnacentral:lncRNA from 1 species